AUGGUGGAAGAAAUAAGGCUCUCUUCAAGGCACCCCUUUCUUUGAAGCUACAACCUAAACCCUAAGCCCUUGUUGCCACUCCUCUCUCUUUCUUUAUGUCGCUCAACCCCAGAUGAUUUUUCAUAUGGCUUUAGGGUCCUUUAAAUAGAGCUAGGGCUAGGGUUUUAUGAGAGAUGGGAGCAUGAAUAAAGGUCAUUGGAUCUUCAUGUUGCUUCUCCUCCAUC
rnacentral:lncRNA from 1 species